CUCUGCAACUUUUUCAACUCUCUGAUUUUUAAAUAAAUCCUCAAAUCCAUCUGGCGAUCAUUAUUUUUGCUUGAUGAAUUAAGCUGCCAUCUUUUCUCUCUGGGUCUUCAGAAUUUGAGCUGACUUUGCUAAAAGGUGCGAUCUUUCUUCUCUGGGUCUUCAGAAUCUGAGCUAACUUAGCCAAAGUUACGAUCUUUUCUCUCUGGGUCGUCCUCACUUGAGCUGACUUUGCCAAAGUUUCGAUCUUUCUUAUCUGGGUCGUCGGAGUUUGAGCUAAAGUUUCGAUCUUUCUUCUCUGGGUCGUCGUAAUUUGAGCUAGAAUCAUGGGAAAUUGCUUUGC